rnacentral:rRNA from 1 species
UACGGUAGGGUGCAAGCGUUAAUCGGAAUUACUGGGCGUAAAGCGUGCGCAGGCGGUGAUGUAAGACAGUUGUGAAAUCCCCGGGCUCAACCUGGGAACUGCAUCUGUGACUGCAUCGCUGGAGUGCGGCAGAGGGGGAUGGAAUUCCGCGUGUAGCAGUGAAAUGCGUAGAUAUGCGGAGGAACACCGAUGGCGAAGGCAAUCCCCUGGGCCUGCACUGACGCUCAUGCACGAAAGCGUGGGGAGCAAACAGG